CGCGUAGGCGGUCUGUCCAGUUAGGCGUGAAAGGCCUGGGCUUAACCCAGGAAUGGCGCUUAAUACUGACGGGCUUGAGAUUGGAAGAGGAGAGUGGAAUUCCCAGUGUAGAGGUGAAAUUCGUAGAUAUUGGGAAGAACACCGGUGGCGAAGGCGGCUCUCUGGUCCACAUCUGACGCUGAGGCGCGAAAGCGUGGGGAGCAAACAGGAUUAGAUACCCUGGUAGUCCACGCCGUAAGCGAUGAGUGCUAGACGUUGGGGGGCUUGGCUCCUCGGUGUCGCAGCUAACGCGUUAAGCACUCCGCCUGGGGAGUACGGUCGCAAGAUUAAA
rnacentral:rRNA from 1 species